GCGCCGGUGGCGUAAUGGCGUAGAGCAUUCGCGCCCGGUCAGAGGGAGGUGCGGGUUCGAGUCCCGCCUGGCGCU
rfam:Heligmosomoides polygyrus genome assembly, scaffold: HPBE_contig0001799